rfam:Colletotrichum higginsianum, IMI 349063, WGS project CACQ02000000 data, contig: cont1.7158
ACAUACGACCAUACCCACUGGAGAACUCAGGAUCCCGUCCGCUCUCCCAUAGAUAAGCCAGUGAGGGCCGGAUUAGUAGUUGGGUCGGUGACGACCAGCGAAUACCUGGUGUUGUAUGUC